CGUGUUUUAUCAUUAUUGUUUAAUAAAAAUCGAUUAACAAUGAGAUCGUUCUAUCUGAAAAAUAUCGGAAGAUUGAAAUCGUAAAGUUUUGUUGAAUUCUGCGAAAGGCAAUGAGAUUACGGCAUUACAUUAUCGAAGAUGAAUGAAGGCAAUCAAAUUAAAAAGAUUCGGAUAGGUUGGAAGAAAAUAACGCUUUUGCUGUACCUUAACUCAUUGUCCACCAUUCGUCUCUAAGCUAUCCUCAAAGUUUUCCCCUCGUCGAUAAAGCCACACGUUCUUCAAAUUAUGUACAAGAAAACGAACAUAUGUCUUGAAUUGGAGCAGCAUUUCUCGCCAAUCAUGCGAUGACUCUACUUUUUGGAUUCGCCACAAGAUUAAAUUUAAAAACAGAACUUAAACUUCUGUGAUUUACACCAUUCACUCACUAAUUCUACUUUUCGAAUUUAUUACAGGAUCUCCCGUCUGAAAGUAGGACAUGCAUUCUGCACAGUCGCUGAUAAAUUGUGUACAGGCUAUAGACAACAAUUCGAUUGCAGCAUCAUUUUUUUUCCUAUCUCAAAUAAUUUGGGUUGUCGUAAUGCGAAAAUUAUUUGAAAUAUCCAUGGAAACACGGGAGCUAUACCAAAAGUAAAUAAUAGAUUCCGAGCAGAAACAACGUGCCAUCAUCCAGUUCUUGAAGGAAAGGCACAGGUUGUCGGACAUCCACAGAAGACUACAGAAUGUUUACCGAGCAAUAUAGCAGAUCGAUGAAAAAGUUUAACGUAGGACAAACCAGCACUGAAGACAAAUCACUCAGCAGGAAACCAUACAGUGGUCUCCGGCUUCGUGGUUUGCCUUCUCUGUUUGACAUUCUCACCUCAUUGCAGUUGUGCAAUGUGGUGAGAAUGUCAAAGACUUAGAAUAUCGGACCACCGAUCAUCAAAGUUUCUUUCGGGUUUUUAGGUCAUGAAUAUAUAUAACUACGUUUUGCAGCAUAAUUUUAUAAGAGUGGAUUAGUAGACUUUUAUAGAUGAAUAAGGUUGUGGAUAUAUUCGGUACUUUUGAUUCUAAAUUAG